rnacentral:rRNA from 1 species
AGCAGCCGCCACGGGAAUACGAAGGGGGCUAGCGUUGUUCGGAAUUACUGGGCGUAAAGCGCACGUAGGCGGAUAUUUAAGUCAGGAGUGAAAUCCCAGAGCUCAACUCUGGAACUGCCUUUGAUACUGGGUAUCUUGAGUAUGGAAGAGGUGAGUGGAAUUCCGAGUGUAGAGGUGAAAUUCGUAGAUAUUCGAAGGAACACCAGUGGCGAAGGCGGCUCACUGGUCCAUUACUGACGCUGAGGUGCGAAAGCGUGGGGAGCAAACAGGAUUAGAGACCCCUGUAGUCCCUGUCUCUUAUAC